rnacentral:tRNA from 1 species
GCUUAAAUAUUUUAAUAUUAAAAUAUUGGUUUGUGGGACCAGAGAUAUAGGUUUAUAGAUUCUAUUUUAGGCC